rnacentral:rRNA from 1 species
UAGAUACCCGGGUAGUCCACGCCGUAAACGAUGGACACUUGGUGUUGGAGGUAUUGACCCCUUCAGUGCCGAAGCUAACGCGUUAAGUGUCCCGCCUGGGGAGUACGGUCGCAAGAUUAAAACUCAAAGAAAUUGACGGGGGCCCGCACAAGCGGUGGAGCAUGUGGUUUAAUUCGAUGCAACGCGAAAAACCUUACCUGGGCUCGAAAUGUACGGGAAGUUGUCAGAGAUGAUAACGUCUUCGGACUCGUAUAUAGGUGCUGCAUGGCCGCCGUCAG